rnacentral:sRNA from 2 species
AUAUCUCUCCGUACGGGAAGGAUGAGAAGCUUCGACUAAGGUUCGAUUCGAGCGCAGCGAGAAAGCGUUGCCGCAGGCAACGACCCGAAGGGCGCAGCGCGCAGCGCUGAGUAAUCCUUCCCCCACCACCA